AUCGAACGCUGGCGGCAGGCCUAACACAUGCAAGUCGAACGAGUGGCGGACGGGUGAGUAAUGUCUGGGAAACUGCCCGAUGGAGGGGGAUAACUACGGGAAACGGUAGCUAAUACCGCAUACCAUCGGAUGUGCCAAGAUGGGAAUAGCUUGUAGGUGAGGUAACGGCCCACCUAGGCGACGAUCCCUAGCUGAUCUGAGAGGAUGAGCAGCCACACUGGAACUGAGACACGGUCCAGACUCCUACGGGAGGCAGCAGUGGGGAAUAUUGCACAAUGGGCGCAAGCCUGAUGGAGCCAUGCCGCGUGUAUGAAGAAGGCCUUCGGGUUGUAAAGUACUUUCAGCGGGGAGGCGUUACCCGCAGAAGAAGCACCGGCUAACUCCGUGCCAGCAGCCGCGGUAAUAC
rnacentral:rRNA from 1 species